CAAUAGCGUAUAUUUAAGUUGUUGCAGUUAAAAAGCUCGUAGUCGGAUUUUGGCUGAGAACGAUCGGUCCGCCGUUAGGUGUGCACUGAUUGGUCUCAGCUUCCUGGUGAGGAGGUGUGCUUCACGGCCACUUAGUCACCGUGGUUACUUUGAAAAAAUUAGAGUGUUCAAAGCGGGCUUACGCUUGAAUAUAUUAGCAUGGAAUAACACCAUAGGACUCCUGUCCUAUUUCGUUGGUCUCGGGACGGGAGUAAUGAUUAAGGGGAACAGUUGGGGGCAUUCGUAUUUCAUUGUCAGAGGUGAAAUUCUUGGAUUUAUGAAAGACGAACUACUGCGAAAGCAUUUGCCAAGGAUGUUUUCAUUAA
rnacentral:rRNA from 1 species